UACGUAGGGUGCGAGCGUUGUCCGGAAUUACUGGGCGUAAAGAGCUCGUAGGUGGUUUGUCGCGUUGUUUCGUGAAAACUCACAGCUCAACUGUGGGCGUGCGGGCGAUACGGGCAGACUGGAGUACUGCAGGGGAGACUGGAAUUCCUGGUGUAGCGGUGGAAUGCGCAGAUAUCAGGAGGAACACCGGUGGCGAAGGCGGUCUGCUGGGCAGUAGCUGACGCUGAAUGCGCGACAGCGUGGGGAGCAAACAGG
rnacentral:rRNA from 1 species